rnacentral:rRNA from 1 species
GGAAUUGACGGGGCCGCACAAGCGGUGGAGUAUGUGGUUUAAUCGAUGCAACGCGAAGAACCUUACCUGGUCUUGACAUCCCCGGAGACCCUUAGGAAACUAGGGGGUGCCUUCCAUCUGGAAGAAUCUGGAGACAGGUGCUGCAUGGCUGUCGUCAGCUCGUGUCGUGAGAUGUUGGGUUAAGUCCCGCAACGAGCGCAACCCUUGCCUUUAGUUGCCAGCAGUUCGGCUGGGCACUCUAAAGGGACUGCCGGUGUUAAACCGGAGGAAGGUGGGGAUGACGUCAAGUCCUCAUGGCCUUUAUGACCAGGGCUACACACGUACUACAAUGGCCGAUACAAAGGGCAGCGACACUGCGAGGUGAAGCCAAUCCCGUAAAAUCGGUCUCAGUCCGGAUUGGAGUCUGCAACUCGACUCCAUGAAGUUGGAAUCGCUAGUAAUCGUGGAUCAGCAUGCCACGGUGAAUACGUUCCCGGGCCUU